rnacentral:sRNA from 1 species
GCUGGGUGUGUGUGGUGCUGCACACCUGUAAUCCCAACAACUCAGGAGGCUGAGGCAGGAGGGUCAUAAGUUUGAGGACAGUCUCAGCAACUUAGCAAGACUCUGUCUCAA